GACGUAGGGCGCGAGCGUUGUCCGGAUUUAUUGGGCGUAAAGAGCUCGUAGGCGGCUUGCUCGUGUCGACUGUGAAAACCCGAGGCUCAACUUCGGGCUUGCAGUCGAUACGGGCAGGCUAGAGUUCGGUAGGGGAGACUGGAAUUCCUGGUGUAGCGGUGAAAUGCGCAGAUAUCAGGAGGAACACCGAUGGCGAAGGCAGGUCUCUGGGCCGAUACUGACGCUGAGGAGCGAAAGCGUGGGGAGCGAACAGG
rnacentral:rRNA from 1 species